rnacentral:rRNA from 1 species
AGGGAAUCUUCGGCAAUGGGGGGAACCCUGACCGAGCAACGCCGCGUGAGUGAAGAAGGUUUUCGGAUCGUAAAGCUCUGUUGUUAAGGAAGAACGAGUGUGAGAAUGGAAAGUUCAUACUGUGACGGUACUUAACCAGAAAGGGACGGCUAACUACGUGCCAGCAGCCGCGGUAAUACGUAGGUCCCGAGCGUUGUCCGGAUUUAUUGGGCGUAAAGCGAGCGCAGGCGGUUAGAAAAGUCUGAAGUGAAAGGCAGUGGCUCAACCAUUGUAGGCUUUGGAAACUGUUUAACUUGAGUGCAGAAGGGGAGAGUGGAAUUCCAUGUGUAGCGGUGAAAUGCGUAGAUAUAUGGAGGAACACCGGUGGCGAAAGCGGCUCUCUGGUCUGUCACUGACGCUGAGGCUCGAAAGCGUGGGGAGCGAACAGGAUUAGAUACCCUGGUAGUCCACGCCGUAAACGAUGAGUGCUAGGUGUUGGGUCCUUUCCGGGGCUCAGUGCCGCAGCUAACGCAUUAAGCACUCCGCCUGGGGAGUACGACCGCAAGGUUGAAACUCAAAGGAAUUGACGGGGGCCCGCACAAGCGGUGGAGCAUGUGGUUUAAUUCGAAGCAACGCGAAGAACCUUACCAGGUCUUGACAUCCCAGUGACCACCCUAGAGAUAGGGUUUCCCUUCGGGGCACUGGUGACAGGUGGUGCAUGGUUGUCGUCAGCUCGUGUCGUGAGAUGUUGGGUUAAGUCCCGCAACGAGCACAACCCUUAUUGUUAGUUGCCAUCAUUGAGUUGGGCACUCUAGCGAGACUGCCGGUAAUAAACCGGAGGAAGGUGGGGAUGACGUCAAAUCAUCAUGCCCCUUAUGACCUGGGCUACACACGUGCUACAAUGGCUGGUACAACGAGUCGCAAGCCGGUGACGGCAAGCUAAUCUCUGAAAGCCAGUCUCAGUUCGGAUUGUAGGCUGCAACUCGCCUACAUGAAGUCGGAAUCGCUAGUAAUCGCGGAUCAGCACGCCGCGGUGAAUACGUUCCCG